rnacentral:rRNA from 1 species
AUUCCUACGGGAGGCAGCAGUGGGGAAUAGGGGUAAUGGGGGCAACCCUGAUCCAGCCAUGCCGCGUGAGUGAUGAAGGCCCUAGGGUUGUAAAGCUCUUUCACCGGUGAAGAUAAUGACGGUAACCGGAGAAGAAGCCCCGGCUAACUUCGUGCCAGCAGCCGCGGUAAUAAU